GGGGAUGUGGCGGAACUGGCAGACGCGCUACGUUCAGGACGUAGUGAGCUUCGGCUCAUGUGGGUUCAACUCCCACCAUCCCCACCA
rnacentral:tRNA from 1 species